GACGUAGGGCGCGAGCGUUGUCCGGAUUUAUUGGGCGUAAAGAGCUCGUAGGCGGCUUGUCGCGUCGUUCGUGAAAACCUGCAGCUCAACUGCAGGCUUGCGGUCGAUACGGGCAGGCUAGAGUUCGGUAGGGGAGACUGGAAUUCCUGGUGUAGCGGUGAAAUGCGGCAGAUAUCAGGAGGAACACCGGUGGGCGAAGGCGGUUCUCUGGGCAUUAC
rnacentral:rRNA from 1 species